UGCUUCUUCACUCAGGAUGUAAAGACACACGGGAGUAACUGAUUAUUUCUCUUAACAUGCUACAGAUUUCUUUUAAUAUUUCUAUGUUUUGUAGUAACCAACAGAAGCUGAAGGAAUGGCAGACAUUACUCAGACACCUGUGAACACGGAGCAGUGGUUAGAGUCCAAGACAGUGAAAUCAUCGUCAUUAUACUUCUGACUGAACUAGCAAGGAGCAUUAGAGACAAUGAGAAAAACUCAAAAGAAGAUACUUUGAAGAAUGCUGGUAAUCAAACCCAACAAGUUUGUCAGGUGCAGAAAUAAAAGGUCCCAAACAAAGAUGUCACCGGAUUAAGAUGUGGAAAGACAUGUUACACCACAACAACCAUAAAUCCUGAGUAAUUUGAAUAUGGGCAACAACCGAGGAAAAGUACCCAUUGUUUUAGUCAGAAAUGAUUCAUGGUAAUAGUAAUAGUAAAUGAUUAGAUAAAUAAAUAAAAAGCACAAAAUGGUUUUAAUUUUAAACUCUGCCAUUUACUAAUGGGUUAUUUAAAACACUAAGUUUUGGUGUAUCUUUACAAUAAGGUAUCAUUAGUUAACAUUAGUAAAUGCUGAAAUUAACAUUAAAUAAUGAGCAAUACAUUUGUUACAAUUUGCAUUAAUCUUUGAUACGGUUAAAAAACAACUGUUCUUUGUUAGUUCAUGUUGGCUCUGAUCCAUUAAAUAAUGUCAACAGGCACAACUUUUGUUCUCAAUGUAUUAGUAAAUUUUAAAAUUAACUAGGUUAAUAUAUUAACUACAGUUAACUAAGGUUAAUGUUAAGUUAAUGUUAAGUAUUUGUCAUGUUAGUUCAUGUUGGGUAGGUAACUAAUGUUACAAAUGAAACCUUAUUGUAAAUUGUGAAGUAUCACCUGUGUUUAUUGUUUAUACGUGUUAAAUUAUUUAUACGUAAGUAUAAAUAAAUGUAAGGGUAAUUUAGUUAAAUGUUACGUUUUUUAUAUUUAUAUAAACUUUCUGUAUAACUUUUUUUUUUUUGUCUUCUUUUUUGCUGUAAUUGCAUAGUUUUGUAAAUAAAUUGUUCUCAUGCC
ensembl:lncRNA